rnacentral:tRNA from 1 species
GCGCUGAUAAUGUAAGGCGUAGUAUAGCUGCCCGGAGAACAGAGGCUGCGGGUUCGAGUCCCGCCUGGCGCA